rnacentral:rRNA from 1 species
UGAGGAACAUGACCUUCGGCGGGGGAUAGCCGGCCCAACGGCCGGGUAAUACCGCGUACGACCACUUUGGGACAUCCCUCGGUGGUGAAAGCAGCAAUGCGCCGAUGGAGUGCCUCGCGGCCUAUCAGCUAGUUGGUGAGGUAACGGCUCACCAAGGCAUCGACGGGUAGCUGGUCUGAGAGGAUGAUUAGCCACACUGGACUGAGACACCGGCCCAGACUCCGUAGGGA